rnacentral:sRNA from 1 species
UCCUAGCCCAGAUAGCAGUGAAAAUCCUUUUAUUUUUUUUCUUCAAAAAAAUAAAAGAUUGUAACGAAUAGCUGGAAAUAGC